rnacentral:rRNA from 1 species
AGUGAACGCUGGCGGCGUGCUUAACACAUGCAAGUCGAACGAGAACGGACUAUAGCUUGCUAUAACUGUCAGCUAAGUGGCGCACGGGUGAGUAAUGUAUAGGUAAUAUGCCUCUUACUAAGGGAUAACAAAUGGAAACGUUUGCUAAUACCUUAUACUCCUUAUUAACAGAAGUUAAUAAGGGAAAGAUUUAUUGGUAAGAGAUUAGCCUGUAUUGUAUCAGUUAGUUGGUGGGGUAAUGGCUUACCAAGACUAUGACACAUAACUGGUUUGAGAGGAUGAUCAGUCACACUGGAACUGAGACACGGUCCAGACUCCUACGGGAGGCAGCAGUGGGGAAUAUUGCACAAUGGACGAAAGUCUGAUGCAGCAACGCCGCGUGGAGGAUGACACAUUUCGGUGCGUAAACGCCUUUUAUAUGAGAAGAUAAUGACGGUAUUAUAUGAAUAAGCACCGGCUAACUCCGUGCCAGCAGCCGCGGUAA